rnacentral:lncRNA from 1 species
AUGGAUCUGAGAACGCUGUCUGGGCUUGGUGCCAAGUGCUGGUAUUUCACAGCAGCGACCGCCUCACAGACGGGCUGUGGGAAGCAGGAGGGAGACUCUCUUAGGGUGCCACUACUAUGGAGACACAGCUGGGCUGAACAAGAUUUGCUUCAAACGACAACAAGAGAGACAGAAAGUAUCUGGUUCAACCGCUGCCCAGGCAGGCAGGCACCAGAAGAGCUAGCAGCCAAUCCGGCCAUGCUCGAAGCCAGCUCUGCAGCUCAGCCAAUCAGUGACAUCACUGAUCUUUUGGAAUAUUACUGGGAUAACUGUCCAAAUGAAGUUCCAAGUACUCUAUACAAAUGGUUACUGAUCAUUAAAAUGGUUUUGUAAAGGAAUGACUCAGAAAUAACAGAGUUUGUUGCUGCUUCUGAGAUAAAGAAAACUCGAUGUCAACAUUUGAACAGAGAAAAAUACAGAAUAUG